CAUACUUAUUAACUCCAUGGUACUUACCCAUUACUACUAUAAAUAAAUAAAAAAAUACAUAGUUUAUAAGUUGCUCAAAAUCUUUAAUAAAUAAAAAAGUAUACAGUUUAAUUAACUUAAAAAGGAGACAGGAUUUAUAUACAAAAAUGCCUAACCAUCGUAAUAAAUAUGAAAAAGCCAGAAGACGAUUAGCUGCUGUUACCUUUCUAUCUAACAUAUCUCUCGACGGCAAACACAAAGAAAAAGAAAUGGAUUUGAUUGACAAUAAGUCGUAUAAAAACGAUAAAGCCAAUGGUCCGUUAAAAACUGUUGAGAUAUCAAACGAUAAAGAAAAUGUUUCAAGGAACAGUGUUCAUGGCCGCAGUAAGAAUCAAUCAAGUCCUCAUCGCCACGGGACAGAUAAUUAUUCAUUAAGUUCAGAUUCAGAAUAUACAACUAAUUUAACUCCAGUGAAAAGUGGAUUGAACUCUAAUUUCAGAGACAGAUGUUCAUCAGGUAAUAUUGAAUCAUCGAAAGAAAAACAUGUAUCAUUGCGUAGUAAGAGAGGACAUCUGGUGUCAAUGGCUGGUAUUAAUACUGAAGAGAAAAGUAGUUCAGAGAGUCUUACAUUUGGUCGCUUCCGUACCAGCAGUACAUGUAUACCUGAGAACCAUAUUAUGAUCAAUGAAGUACGUUUUGUAAGAUCAACGAAAGGAGUUACAUUUAGAGAUGAGCGGCUUGCAUUUGUGCCGGAAAAAAGUGUACCAUGUGCCAUUUUCAGCACCAUUCCAUAUUCAAGAACUACAAGAACUGCCAGAUCUGAGCUUAGAAAGGAUGGAGUGCGCCGAAGAAAUACAUCAGGACCUAGACCCCUAUCUGCAAUAACAGACAAUGGGGUUGAUCCAUUUCAUCUCUUAGGCUUGGAAAAAGAAGAGAAUGGUCAAGACAUAUCUUAUUCUAAACUUCUUGUACCAUCUAGAGUACACACAUUAGAGCAAUACCGUAAAUUGUAUGAUAAUGAGUACAUUGAUAAAAAUUGGAAGAUAUUAAAUCGUCACCCUCAUGUUAUAGCCAGGACUAAGUUAUUGACGAGACACAAGGAUAAAAAAUGGUGUUUCUCGUACGAGUCUUCCCAAAGGACAACGAUAGCGUCCUCACCGCCCCACACUUCUGUUGAUAAUAAAACGUUCGACUGGGACGAAGGAACUUUGCUUUCACAAAAAUAUGUUCACUACUGCCCUAAUGUACUUGAUGAUCCAGAACUGAUUGCGGGGAAACACAGGACUCUGUUAACGUUUACGUCUUACAUGACGUCGAUCAUUGACUAUGUUCGACCGCAGGACUUAAAGAAAGAACUGAAUGAUAAAUUCCGAGAAAAAUUCCCACACAUUAAACUGACUUUGAGUAAACUAAGAAGUAUAAAAAGAGAAAUGCGGAAAAUCGCCAAACACGACAGCGGAGGGAUCGAUUUGUUGUCGGUCGCUCAGGCGUACGUUUAUUUUGAAAAGUUGAUACUCGCGAAUCUUAUAAACAAGGACAACAGGAAAUUAUGUGCCGGAGCGUGCCUGUUACUGUCAGCUAAACUAAACGACGUUAAAGGAGAAAUUCUGAAGGCGUUGAUAGAACGCAUAGAGACGACAUUCAGACUGGACAGGAAGGAUCUGAUGAAGUUCGAAUUCGCCGUUCUAGUGGCCCUCGAGUUUGGUUUGCACGUGCCGCCGUACGAAGUGUUCCCGCACUACCAGCGCUUGCUCCACGACUCGUGACCCUGGCGCCGGCUGGCCCUCGAGCCCUGCGUCCGCGUGUGCCACCGCCGGAGAGCCAGCAUCGUCGCUGCCUGGGUCUAGUCGCCAUUGCAACAUAGUAGCAUAACUGUGUCUUCUGUUCGGUGCAAUUGAAGAGACGUGAGAUUUGAUAAAAAUCAUGACGGUCAAGGUAUUGGCACUUUGUUCCUUCCUGUGUCUCUUGCGGACAUGUUGGGGAAAAGAAAUUGCUGCGCAAAAAUUCCAAAAACAAGAGCAACUUAUGGAGCCUCUUGAUUUUGUCUCCGACGAUCUUAAACAAGAGGGCACAGUUUGGCGACUAGGGCGACCGUGGAAUUUAUGGACAUGGGGUCGUUUAAUGUUAAACAAAGCCUUAGGACACUCUUCAGCCAAUUUCGAGAGUGAUUAUAAAGGACGAGCUGUUCAUCGUGACCGACCAAACGGCAUAUUGAAAAAUAACCUUAAGUUCUUUUUAAAAAUAAAACAAUUCGAUACAUAA